rnacentral:rRNA from 1 species
AAGGGAGGGUGCAAGCGUUGUUCGGAAUUACUGGGCGUAAAGCGCGUGCAGGCGGUUUUUUAAGUUCCGUGUGAAAUCCCCCGGCUUAACCGGGGAACUGCGCGGAAAACUGGGAGACUUGAAUACGGGAGAAGAGGGCGGAAUUCCCAGUGUAGAGGUGAAAUUCGUAGAUAUUGGGAGGAACACCGGCGGCGAAAGCGGCUCUCUAGACCGAUAUUGACGCUCAUACGCGAGAGCGUGGGUAGCAAACGGG